GUGAGUGGUAGCAGGGCCAGUCUGGAACUAUUUUGAGCUGGAGUUCCAUUUGCUCCUGGCAAACCGCCUGCUUUUGGUUCGUGUACCUCCUGUGGUAUGCAUACUAUAGGUUGAAAAGCUAGGGACUACAGGUGCAAACCCCUUCAUUAAAGAGAAACCGUUUGCAUACAUGACCCUCUAUAUUUUAAUACAAUAUAGGAAAUGCAUUAAUACAUUAAAAAGAUGCAG